rnacentral:rRNA from 1 species
AUUGAACGCUGGCGGCAGGCCUGACACAUGCAAGUCGAGCGGAUGAAAGGAGCUUGCUCCUUGAUUUAGCGGCGGACGGGUGAGUAAUGCCUAGGAAUCUGCCUGGUAGUGGGGGAUAACGUUCCGAAAGGAACGCUAAUACCGCGUACGUCCUACGGGAGAAAGCAGGGGACCUUCGGGCCUUGCGCUAUCAGAUGAGCCUAGGUCGGAUUAGCUAGUUGGUGAGGUAAUGGCUCACCAAGGCGACGAUCCGUAACUGGUCUGAGAGGAUGAUCAGUCACACUGGAACUGAGACACGGUCCAGACUCCUACGGGAGGCAGCAGUGGGGAAUAUUGGACAAUGGGCGAAAGCCUGAUCCAGCCAUGCCGCGUGUGUGAGGAGGGUCUUCAGAUUGUAAAGCACUUUAAGUUGGGAGGAAGGGCGUUUGGCUAAUAUCCAGGCGUUUUGACGUUACCAACAGAAUAAGCACCGGCUAACUUCGUGCCAGCAGCCGCCGUAAGAC